UCAUGUCUUGUAAUUAGAAUGAGAACAAUUUAAAUCCCUUACCGAGUAUCAAUUGGAGGGCAAGUCUGGUGCCAGCAGCCGCGGUAAUUCCAGCUCCAAUAGCGUAUAUUUAAGUUGUUGCAGUUAAAAAGCUCGUAGUUGGAUUUCGGGCGGGUGACGGCGGUCCGCCUCUGGUGUGCACUGCCGGCAUCCGCCUUUCUGUCGGGGACGGGCUCCUGGGCUUCAUUGCUUGGGACUCGGGUUCGACGUGGUUACUUUGAGUAAAUUAGAGUGUUCAAAGCAGGCGAUCGCCCUGAAUACAUUAGCAUGGAAUAGCACGAUAGGACUCUGGCCUAUUCUGCUGGUCUGUAGGACCGGAGUAAUGAUUAAGAGGGACAGUCGGGGGCAUUCGUAUUUCAUUGUCAGAGGUGAAAUUCUUGGAUUUAUGAAAGACGAACUUCUGCGAAAGCAUUUGCCAAGGAUGUUUUCAUUGAUCAAGAACGAAAGUUAGGGGAUCGAAGACGAUCAGAUACCGUCCUAGUCUUAACCAUAAACCAUGCCGACUAGAGAUUGGAGGUCGU
rnacentral:rRNA from 1 species